GGAUGUGAGGGAGAUCUGGCUGUGACAUCUGUCACCUUGUUGAUUCCCAGAGUUGUUUCAGCUGAUCUGGUGGGCUAGGUUGGUGUUCCCUUUCUUCCUCACCGCUCUAUGUGUGUCCCUCCUGAAGCUGCACCCUGAAGAACCCCCUUCCUGAGGUACAGAUUGUUAAACAAUACAGUUAGAGGGGCUGUAAUUGAAUUUGCAAAUAGUUAUCAAAGGGAGGUACUGAGCCCCCCCGCCCCCACCUCUAAGGCCCAGGGCAGUGCCACCCUGUGAAGAGGAAGAGCCUCACCUGGACAUGGUGAUGCCUCCAUCC
rnacentral:sRNA from 1 species